GUGAAUCAUCGAAUUUUUGAACGCAAAUUGCACUCUUUGGUAUUCCGGAGAGUAUGUCUGUUUGAGGGUCAGUUUAAAUAAAAAUCGGUGUGGUUGCUGCCUUUCGUGGUGACGCACGGGAUUUGGGUCGUAUCGACUUCGGUUAAGUGACUUAAAAAUUAGCAUGAUUUUUUUCGAAUGAAUUUAAAAGAUAUUAU
rnacentral:misc_RNA from 1 species